rnacentral:tRNA from 1 species
GGGCACAUAGCUCAGUUGGUUAGAGCUGCCGACUCAUAAUCGGCCGGUCGCAGGUUCGAGUCCUGCUGGGCCCACUA